AAAGGUUUCCCAGACAGGCCUGUCCUGAUAAGACCAACCACUUGGUACUCCUUAGAAAUACAGAGAAAGGCCAGAACUGGCAGGGCACACCUUUAGUCCCACACUCAGGAAGCAGAGCUACACAGUGAGACCUUGUCUCAAAACAAGGCAAGAGGGUGGUGCUCAACUGUAUUCCCAGCACACGGAAGACCAAGGAAGAAAGAUACAUUUCCCAGUCAUGUAUACUAAAAUAGCUAAGAAACAAAAUACCCCUUAUCACAAUGAACACACCUAACAUCCAGAUGUUUGUAGUACUGUUUUUCUCAUAAAGAGAAAUUAUAAUUCUUUGUAAAUGUAGCUGAUUCAGAGACAAAAACAUAAGUAGUUCAUGACAUAAGCUAAGGAAGUGUUCAGACAGAUAAUGGCAGGUGACACGGAUAGGAGCCAGUGCCUGGCUCUGAAGCGGUCUGAGCACUGGAGCCCAGUUUGUUCAGUCACUACAGGAAUUAUUACCACUUGCAGUAUAAGGAUAAAAUAAUGACAGUGCAGUAAGGAGGCCAAGCCAGUUUUUAAUCUAACUUUCACAUUGAUUAUAAUUCAAGAAAUACGUGGGAAGCAAAUAGGUCCCUUGCUUUUAGAACAGUAAAGCUGACUGUGGUUAGAAAAUCAUUCUUACAGCUGUCAUGGGAGUAUUGGGUGUACAGACACCGGACAUGAAUCACGAGUGAACAUUGACUUGGGGCAGUGUUUUGUUUAGGAGCAAACUGAUUGCCUGGUCUUGACUGCAUCCCUGUAGACUACUCACUGGACCGUAAAGGAGAGCCGUAAUUACACACAGGAGAAAUCAGGCAGCGUCUAUACUGGGUUUCCCCAAGGGACAGUGGACACCUACAGUCCCUUUGGAUGGGGUGCCCUGUGGAGGGUGCACCAUCCCCUGUGCAGCAGCAGCAUAAUAUUGAGGAAAUACCCGAGAAAGACAAAACAAGUUAGUGUCAUAAAGACAGUAGUUAGAGAAAACGCUCCCUAACAUAGGAGGUGAAGAGAUCUGAUCAGUGCUCUGUCCUGUUCUCUGCUGUCUGUAGUGGAGGAGGGAGCUGCAGGGAAGGACGACAAAAGUGGGGUUGUGGGUGGUAGAUUAGAAAAAAUAGAUCCAAAUAGUGCUGUGUGGUGUGGAUAGUUAAACUAGAACUACUUGUAAUUCGAGGGACUAUACAAGGAAGUAUUAAGGGAUAAAAGAAGACAGUGUAUAUACUAAACUCCUCAAGUCUAAUUGCCAAAAAUUUGGGGAAGAUAUGUGUUUGCACGUUUAUAGAAGC
rnacentral:lncRNA from 1 species